rnacentral:lncRNA from 1 species
CUCUUGUAUUAUUCAUCAUACUGGUGCCAUAUUAAGAAACAAUGAGCUAAUUGACAGCGCAGAACCAAGAUAAAAAAAUAUUAGUAGAACUAAUUUUUUAUGAUCCUGUUCUAUUUUCCUAUAUUACACAUCACUCUCUAGAUUCUCUGUGGAUCAACAGACAUUAUGUCCAAUCACUUGAAAUCAUUCCAUUUUGCAGGUCAGAGAUGCAGAAGUACCCACAGACAUCUUAUCACUCAUCUGAACAACACAAGCACUGAAGAAUAAGCAAUCAAAUAAUGUUUUAAAACAUUCUGAUUUUUAAAAACUUGACAUUAGGACACAAAAUGAAUAUUUAAAAAUAUGUGUUUUAAAAAUAAUUGUAUGUUUGUAUUUUAGACUAUAUCUAUAAUUCAGUGGUAAAAUCCAGAAAAACUGUGAGUGGAAACACAUUUUUUUUCAAAUGAACAUAGACCUUCAGUCAAGAGGACACCUGGAUGGCUCAGUCUGUUAAGUGUUUGACUUCAGCUCAGGUCAUUAUCUCACAGUUUUUGGGUUUAAGCCCCGUGUCAGUGUCUGUACUGACAGCUCGGAGCCUGGAGCCUGCUUUGGGUUCUGUGUUUCCCUCUCUUUCUGCCCUUCCCCCAUCCAUGCUCUUUCUCUCUCUCUCUCUCAAAAAUAAACAUUAAAAAGACAGGAAGUUAUUAUAAAUGAUAUCUAAGUUAAAGUUUAAAAAAACUUUUUGUAAAACAAAUGUGUAACACAGUAGGAUAAUAUGAUUCUUAAACACACACACACACACACACACACACACACACAACUAACUGAUAUGGUUUUGCUCUUUACUGCAGAGGAAUUGAGUUUCUUAGUCCAAGAUAGAUGGAUGGACAGAAUUGAUCUUCAAGAAAUACCACGGCUAGUAGGUAUUGCAUUCUCCACUGCAGUCUCUUCAGCAAGUGGUGCUGGGAAAACUGGACAGCGACAUGCAGAAGAAUGAACCUGGACCACUUUCUUACACCAUACACAAAAAUAAACUCAAAAUGGAUGAAAGACCUCA